GAUGAACGCUGGCGGCGUGCCUAAUACAUGCAAGUCGAGCGAACGGACGAGAAGCUUGCUUUUCUGAUGUUAGCGGCGGACGGGUGAGUAGCACGUGGAUAACCUACCUAUAAGACUGGGAUAACUUCGGGAAACCGGAGCUAAUACCGGAUAAUAUUUUGAACUGCAUGGUUCAAAAGUGAAAGACGGUCUUGCUGUCACUUCUAGAUGGAUCCGCGCUGCAUUAGCUAGUUGGUAAGGUAACGGCUUACCAAGGCAACGAUGCAUAGCCGACCUGAGAGCGUGAACGGCCACACUGGAACUGAGACGCGGUCCAGACUCCGACGGGAGGCAGAGGUAGGGAAGCUUCCGCACUGGGCGGAAGCCUGACGGAGCAACGCCGCGUGGGUGAUGAAGGUCUUCGGAUCGUAAAACUCUGUUAUUAGGGAAGAACAUAUGUGUAAGUAACUGUGCACAUCUUGACGGUACCUAAUCAGAAAGCCACGGCUAACUACGUG
rnacentral:rRNA from 1 species